UGAUUGAGAUUUUAACACGAAGUGAGUGGCGAACGGGUGAGUAACACGUGGGUAACCUGCCCAGAAGUAGGGGAUAACACCUGGAAACAGAUGCUAAUACCGCAUAACAACUUGGACCGCAUGGUCCGAGUUUGAAAGAUGGCUUCGGCUAUCACUUCUGGAUGGUCCCGCGGCGUAUUAGCUAGUUGGUGAGGUAAAGGCUCACCAAGGCAGUGAUACGUAGCCGACCUGAGAGGGUAAUCGGCCACAUUGGGACUGAGACACGGCCCAAACUCC
rnacentral:rRNA from 1 species